rnacentral:rRNA from 1 species
UACAGAGGGGGCAAGCGUUGUUCGGAAUUACUGGGCGUAAAGGGCGCGUAGGCGGCUUUCUAAGUCGAAGGUGAAAUCCCCGGGCUCAACCCGGGAACUGCGUCCGAUACUGGAAGGCUUGAAUCCGGGAGAGGGAUGCGGAAUUCCAGGUGUAGCGGUGAAAUGCGUAGAUAUCUGGAGGAACACCGGUGGCGAAGGCGGCAUCCUGGACCGGCAUUGACGCUGAGGCGCGAAAGCCAGGGGAGCAAACGGG